rnacentral:rRNA from 1 species
UACGAAGGGGGCUAGCGUUGCUCGGAAUGACUGGGCGUAAAGGGCGCGUAGGCGGACGGCUUUGUCGGGCGUGAAAUUCCAGGGCUUAACCUUGGGGCUGCGUUCGAGACGGGUUGUCUAGAGUUUGGAAGAGGGUCGUGGAAUUCCCAGUGUAGAGGUGAAAUUCGUAGAUAUUGGGAAGAACGCCGGUGGCGAAGGCGGCGACCUGGUCCUUGACUGACGCUGAGGCGCGAAAGCGUGGGGAGCAAACAGG